AUCUCUGUGUUGCUCAUCAGAGCCCCACAAGCUCUAUGAGCAGCUGAUACAGACAGGUAUUGCCCUCCACAUUGUUCUAGCUGGCUUUCAGUUGUAAUAAACACUGACCACAAAGAAAGGUUUUAUUUGGUUUAUAGGUUACAGCCAUUAAUCAAGGGAAGCCAGGCCAGGAACUGAAGCAGAGACAGACCACAGAGGAACACAGCUUACUAGCUUCCUUUCCUUGGUUUGCUCAGCUUGCUUGCUUGCUUAUCCAAUCCAGGACCACCUGUCCUCGGGUAGCUGACACACAGGCCAAUCUGGUAGUGGCAAUUUCUCAUUUAAGGUUCCCUCUUUCUAGGUGUGUCAAGUUGACAAGCAAGAUUAGCCAUUGGUUCCACUUUAAGAAUGAAGAUGCUAAGGCUGCCAGCGGGCAUCCUGGGCCCCAGUACAGAGAAGAUGCACAGGAUCUCCCUGGCCAGCCCAGGGUACAUUUGAGAGGCAUCAUCUGUGUCCUGUGAUACUGACUCCAGCCCAGUCUGGGACCUGGUACAACUGCAGCCUCCCUACUAGAAGCUUCUGAAGACUGUCAGCUUCCUGUUACUGCUGUAAGAAAUGCCCAUGCACUUGAUGGCUGAGAAGAGCACACAGCUGGGAUUGGAGAGAUGGCUCAGUGGUUGGGAGCAUUGGCUGCUUUUCCAGAGGACCCAGGUUCAGCUCCCAGUGCCCACACAGCAACUGACAACUGUCUGUAACUCCAGUUCCAGGGGGUCUGACACCUUUGUACCAAUGCACAUAAAAUAAAGUUAAAUAAAUUAUUUUUAAAAAA